UACGAAGGGGGCUAGCGUUGCUCGGAAUUACUGGGCGUAAAGGGCGCGUAGGCGGCUAGUUUAGUCAGAGGUGAAGGCCCAGGGCUCAACCUUGGAAUUGCCUUUGAUACUGGCUGUCUUGAGUACGGGAGAGGUGAGUGGAACUCCGAGUGUAGAGGUGAAAUUCGUAGAUAUUCGGAAGAACACCAGUGGCGAAGGCGACUCACUGGCCCGUUACUGACGCUGAGGCGCGAAAGCGUGGGGAGCAAACAGG
rnacentral:rRNA from 1 species